rnacentral:rRNA from 1 species
GGUGAACGCUGACAGAAUGCUUAACACAUGCAAGUCAACUUGAAUUUGGGUUUUUAACUUCGGUUUGGGUGGCGGACGGGUGAGUAACGCGUAAAGAACUUGCCUCACAGCUAGGGACAACAUUUGUAAACGAAUGCUAAUACCUAAUAUUAUGAUAAUAGGCCAUCCUAUAAUUAUGAAAGCUAUAAGCGCUGUGAGAGAGCUUUGCGUCCCAUUAGCUAGUUGGAGAGGUAACGGCUCACCAAGGCGAUGAUGGGUAGCCGGCCUGAGAGGGUGAUCGGCCACAAGGGGACUGAGACACGGCCCUUACUCCUACGGGAGGCAGCAGUGGGGAAUAUUGGACAAUGGACCGAGAGUCUGAUCCAGCAAUUCUGUGUGCACGAUGAAGUUUUUCGGAAUGUAAAGUGCUUUCAGUUGGGAAGAAACAAAUGACGGUACCAACAGAAGAAGUGACGGCUAAAUACGUG